GACGAACGCUGGCGGCGUGCUUAACACAUGCAAGUCGAACGGUGAAGCGCCUUCCUUUUUGGUGGGUGUGGAUGAGUGGCGAACGGGUGAGUAACACGUGAGUAACCUGCCCCCUUCUUCUGGAUAACCGCAUGAAAGUGUGGCUAAUACGGGAUAUUCUGGGCCUGUCGCAUGAUGGGUCUGGGAAAGAUAUUGUUUCGGUGGGGGAUGGGCUCGCGGCCUAUCAGCUUGUUGGUGGGGUGAUGGCCUACCAAGGCGGUGACGGGUAGCCGGCCUGAGAGGGUGGACGGUCACACUGGGACUGAGACACGGCCAAGACUCCUACGGGAGGCAGCAGUGGGGAAUAUUGCACAAUGGGCGAAAGGCUGAUGCAGCGACGCCGCGUGAGGGAUGGAGGCCUUCGGGUUGUGAACCUCUUUCGCCAGUGAAGCAGGCCUGCCUCGUUUGUGGGUGGGUUGACGGUAGCUGGAUAAGAAGCGCCGGCUAACUACGUG
rnacentral:rRNA from 1 species